ensembl:lncRNA
UUGCGCUUGCACAGCAGGCAGCAAAACCACGGAGCUAAAUCCCUGGCCCAAAUGCUUUUUUCUGAUCUUUCCAUCUUUGAAAAUUGUUUCAGAAUUUUAACACUCAUCCUGCUCCCCUUUGUUCUCAUCCCACAGCUGUCCUGGCGUGCUCAUUACUUCUCUUUACCCUGUGUUUUUAUAAGCUACAUGAACACGUGUUCUCCAUUUCCAUGCAUGCACAUGAGAUAACAUAUCUUCACGGAUGAGAAUCUUUCUUUUCCCACCGAGUGCUGUUUCAAGCUCUGUAUGCAUUCUUGGGUGCAUCUCAUCAGUACAGCUGCUCACAGAGCAGGAGCUGGGGCUGCCCACGGAAGGCUUUACAUCAGGCCUGAGGAGACAAAGUGGCCAUGGAGAGCAUACCCCUACUGGGCUUCACCAUCGCGCCAGGGAGGGAGGAGGGCAGCAGCGACCCAGGCCCCAUCUUCCAUCUUUACCACAAGAAAACGCUUUUCUACAGCUUCAAGGCUGAGGAUGCCAGUGCUGCCCAGAGGUGGAUGGAGGCCAUGGAGGACGCCAGCGUGUUAUAGCAGUCGCCCAGUGUGGAACUGAAGCAAGUUCAUGGCUAGACAGGUGACCCUGCCAGGAGCCACACCUCAUCCCAGCCCACCUGGAGCAUGGCCGGGGACUGGAGGAGGAUCGCCAGACCUGGCUUCUGUUGUCAUAUUUCCCAGCCCAUCGUGAAUUAUUUUCUUACCCAGAAGUGAGCUAAAAUGGAGUAACAUGAAGAUGUGGAAACCAGUAGCAACUUCAGGUAGAAACACAGGCUUUCAGUAGAAACAGCUUUUCCGGUUUGUCCUCAAAGUAGAUUCAUCACCUUUCAUGGUGGCCACUGGGCCUCAGGUGACGUAAGUGGCAGCAGUGACAGCUGCUGUCCUCAGAAGCACUUUAUCGUCCUGCUGAGCUGCAGCCUUCAGUUCCAAGUUUCCUAAGCCUUUACUGCAUCCCAGGGACACCAAGCCACCCAGGUCACUGUCCUCCAUCCAGCAAGGAUGAAGCAGGAGGAUCUUCCUCCAGCUGAGCAUGGUGGGGCUCCCUCUGUCUCUCCAUGGCAUCCUCCUCGGAAGAUGGCAUCAGCUCUAAUUUAUUGCGUGCCUUUCUGCGCCUGCCACUUUCAUGGGCAAUGCGAGUUUACGAACCUGUCCUUCUGCAGAUACACUAUUUCCCAAAAGAAGUGAAAAAAGGAGAGAAGAUGGGACUUCAGAAGGUGAACAGUAGUGGCUGGAAGAAGAGACGCUACGCCCUGGGGCUGGGUCCCUGCCAAUGUUGCUGUUGGGUUCUGAGGGCACCGAUGGCCAGGGCAGCAUCCCCGGCAGGAAUGUGGCCACAGGCAGCCUCUCGCUGCAGACAUUGUAAAGCACCACUAUCUGAGGACUACUUAUUUACAUUCAAUAUCUCCAGGGAAAUGUUUUUUUCUAGUUUGCAGUUCUUUUAAAACGUUUACAUUAAACAUGUCCUGAUUCAAAGCAGGGAGCAGACAGAUCUUCUGUUAAUGCCUGAGGGCUCAUUUCCGUUGGAAUCACCUCACGCCCAGUCAGUGGCCCCAUCUGCAGCUUCGUCUCCUGCAGUUUUAGCCAUGCAGGGUCAACUGUGGUCUGAAAAUAUUAAGUGGAAAAUUCCACAAAUAAACAACUCAUACGUUUUAAAUAGUAUUUAUUAUAAUAUAUUGGUUUGGGGUUUGGGGGGUUGGAGAAUUUUUCUGAGACGGGGUCUUGAUAUGUAGUUCAGGCUGGCAGUGAUCCUUCCACUUCAGCCUCCAGAGUGCUGGGAUUAUAGGUGUGCACCUCCCUGCCUGACUGUUACAGUAUUUUGUUAUAAUUGUCC